GAAAAGAAACCAACAGGGAUUGCCCUAGUAACGGCGAGUGAAGCGGCAACAGCUCAAAUUGAAAUCUGGCGUCUUUGGCGUCCGAGUUGUAAUUUGCAGAGGGCGCUUUGGCAUUGGCAGCGGUCCAAGUUCCUUGGAACAGGACGUCACAGAGGGUGAGAAUCCCGUACGUGGUCGCUAGCCUUUACCGUGUAAAGCCCCUUCGACGAGUCGAGUUGUUUGGGAAUGCAGCUCUAAAUGGGAGGUAAAUUUCUUCUAAAGCUAAAUACUGGCCAGAGACCGAUAGCGCACAAGUAGAGUGAUCGAAAGAUGAAAAGCACUUUGGAAAGAGAGUUAAAAAGCACGUGAAAUUGUUGAAAGGGAAGCGCUUGCAGCCAGACUUGCCUGUAGUUGCUCAUCCGGGUUUCUACCCGGUGCACUCUUCUACGGGCAGGCCAGCAUCAGUUUGGGCGGUUGGAUAAAGGUCUCUGUCAUGUACCUCCUCUCGGGGAGAACUUAUAGGGGAGACGACAUGCAACCAGCCCGGACUGAGGUCCGCGCAUCUGCUAGGAUGCUGGCGUAAUGGCUGUAAGCGGCCCGUCUUGAAACACGGACCAAGGAGUCUAACAUCUAUGCGAGUGUUUGGGUGUCAAGCCCGAGCGCGUAAUGAAAGUGAACGGAGGUGGGAACCUUUCGGGGUGCACCAUCGACCGAUCCUGAUGUCUUCGGAUGGAUUUGAGUAAGAGCAUAGCUGUUGGGACCCGAAAGAUGGUGAACUAUGCUUGAAUAGGGUGAAGCCAGAGGAAACUCUGGUGGAGGCUCGCAGCGGUUCUGACGUGCAAAUCGAUCGUCAAAUUUGGGCAUAGGGGCGAAAGACUAAUCGAACUAUCUAGUAGCUGGUUCCUGCCGA
rnacentral:rRNA from 1 species